UCCCUUUAUCUUCUCUAGGCCACGGGAUUAGAUGAUAGCACCACCACCCAUCCUCUCUCUCCCUUUAUCUUCUCUAGGCCACGGGAUUAGAUGAUAGCACCACCACCCAUCCUCUCUCUCCCUUUAUCUUCUCUAGGCCACGGGAUUAGAUGAUAGCACCAACAGCAGAAGUGAGGGGAUGCCAUCUCCGACGAAUCUCCGAUGAGUCGUCUCCACUCUAGUGAAAUCGCCCUCCUCCACAACCUAGGUUACCUUCGAUUCUCCAACUCCUGCGUGCGCCAUCGCCCGACCAUGCCGACACCCGGCCUCCCGCGGCGUGGCCUCCUCCAUCCCUUCGCCCCGCUUUGCCCCCGUCAUCAACACCACUGGCCCACCACCACUCCCAAACCCAUGGCUUCGGUGGCGCCGCUGCCUCCCAGGCCAUCCAUGGAGUAUCACUGAUUUGCCAUUUGGUGAGGCGAAUAUCCAUUGCGCCAAUUCUCUAGAGAAGUCUGCAGCAGCAAGAGAUACAAGAGUUUGUUCCCGCAAAGGCUUCGGCUCCACUGUCAUUUUUGACAGCAAGUGGAUUGCUCUAGUCCAGUUUGAUGGCUUAGAUGAUUCAGAGGAACAGGAGUUGAAGAAAUCUAGUUUUCACAAGAGAGGUGCCUAUGUCUCCCAAUCAACCGUGUCUCUUUGAUGAGAUUGAGCUAUGCUCUGAAUAUGUCAUUUAUAUGUGUAAUUCAGGUUACACUCUUCAAUUUUGUGUUGGUUUUGGUUACAUACUUGAUUUUCAGCAAAUUGGACAUGGAAAAUUCAGUGUUGUGUUCAAAGUUUUGAAGAUUACGGAGGGCUGCUUAUAUUGUGUAAAAACGGAUGGCUGCUUAUAUUGUAUAAAAUGGAGUAUCAGGCAACUACAUAAUAAUAGGAAUUCCUUGUAUUUUGCGGCACAAAUUGCUGGAAAUUCCUUGUUUUUUGCCUA